rnacentral:rRNA from 1 species
AUCCCUACGGGGCGCAGCAGUGGGGGAUAUUGCACAAUGGGGGGAACCCUGAUGCAGCGACGCCGCGUGGGUGAAGGAGCGUUUCGGCGCGUAAAGCCCUAUCGGCAGGGAAGAAGGAGGACGGUACCUGACUAAGAAGCCCCGGCUAACUACGUGCCAGCAGCCGCGGUAAUACGUAGGGGGCAAGUGUUAUCCGGAUUUACUGGGUGUAAAGGGAGCGUAGGUGGCAUGGUAAGCCAGAAGUGAAAACCCAGGGCUCAACUCUGUGGAUUGCUUUUGGAACUAUCAAGCUAGAGUGCUGGAGG